rnacentral:rRNA from 1 species
AACGUAGGUCACAAGCGUUGUCCGGAAUUACUGGGUGUAAAGGGAGCGCAGGCGGGAAGACAAGUUGGAAGUGAAAUCCAUGGGCUCAACCCAUGAACUGCUUUUAAAACUGUUUUUCUUGAGUAGUGCAGAGGUAGGCGGAAUUCCCGGUGUAGCGGUGGAAUGCGUAGAUAUCGGGAGGAACACCAGUGGCGAAGGCGGCCUACUGGGCACCAACUGACGCUGAGGCUCGAAAGUGUGGGUAGCAAACAGG